UUGAUGUGAACUGAGUCAUUACUGAACUCCAUGUCCCUGUAUCUACUGGAUGCUGCUGUGAACUGAGUCUUUACUGAACUCUCCAUGUCCCUGUGUCUACUGGAUGUUGAUGUGAACUGAGUCAUUACUGAACUCCAUGUCCCUGUGUCUACUGGCUGCUGCUGUGAACUGAGUCAUUACUGAACUCCAUGUCCCUGUGUCUACUGGCUGCUGCUGUGAACUGAGUCAUUACUGAACUCCAUGUCCCUGUGUCUACUGGCUGCUGCUGUGAACUGAGUCAUUACUGAACUCUCUCCAUGUCCCUGUAUCUACUGGAUGCUGCUGUGAACUGAGUCAUUACUGAACUCUCUCCAUGGCCCUGUGUCUACUGGAUGCUGCUGUGAACUGAGUCAUUACUGAACUCUCUCCAUGUCCCUGUAUCUACUGCAUGCUGCUGUGAACUGAGUCAUUACUGAACUCUCUCCAUGUCCCUGUAUCUACUGGAUGCUGCUGUGAACUGAGUCAUUACUGAACUCUCCAUGUCCCUGUGUCUACUGGAUGCUGCUGUGAACUGAGUCAUUACUGAACUCUCUCCAUGGCCCUGUGUCUACUGGAUGCUGCUGUGAACUGAGUCAUUACUGAACUCUCUCCAUGGCCCUGUGUCUACUGGAUGCUGCUGUGAACUGAGUCAUUACUGAACUCUCUCCAUGUCCCUGUAUCUACUGGAUGCUGCUGUGAACUGAGUCAUUACUGAAAUCUCUCCAUGUCCCAGUAUCUACUGACCAGGUCAGUAGACCAGGAAGUAACACGUGGCGCUGACAUUUAGGCCGAGGCCUGGACCAUCACAGUAGGUGUGAGCAGAACAUGUUGAGCAUCUGAUACAUCCUGCGACCUAAGGGGAUCGAAGGAAAGCCUGAGCUGGGGGCCUCAUUGUACUUCGGCUGGGUGGCGGCUGCCCUGCUCCUGAUUGGAGGGGUCAUACUGUGCAUCACUGUGGGAGUCUUUGGGUGGAUGAUGGGGAUCUUUGGAUGGAUAGUCUCCCGAGUGUCCUGUGCUCUCUCUAUAUUGCUCCCAUUCAGUUAUUAUCCGGUACCCCAAUAUAGGAACAUUUGGAAGGUUCUGAUCACAACCUCCAUCUCCUCCAUCCUGGGAGCUCUAGGAGUGAUGGGCUCCAUCUUUGGGACCAGGUGCUGUAACUGCAUCAAGAGUAACAGGAUCAGGGUCAAGGCCAGGUUCAUCGUUGGAAUAUUCUUCAUCCUGGCUGGUAUCCUGCAGCUCACCACUGUGUUUUUGGUUGACCAUUACUUAAGAACGGAUGUCCACCUGCAGCUCAACCCAUUCGUCCUGUUUACCCAUAAUGACCUGGUAUUUUAGCUGAAUUCAAUAGGUGGUCCUCCUCCAUGCUCCUGAUAGGAGGGACUAUACUCUGCUGCUGUAUCUACAAGAGGAACCAGUCAGACUCAACGACAACUCAAUCAACCUCCCGCUAACAGCUCUGUCUUCAACAGUCAUAUAGGUCUUUAUGUCAUAUUGUGGUGGGACCAUAGUCUGGUGCAGCUGUUGCUGCUACUGCUUUAACAGAGAGGCUGUACUUUUUUUAAAUGAAAACAAUGGAGAGAAUAUAAUUGUGAUUCUAUAUGUAAUUCUAUGAUAAAACGGCCUCUAUCCUUUCUGUUCAGUGUUUAACAGUCAGAAAGGACCUGAUAGGUGUUAAAGCAACAUAGUCAUUGUUCCACCUUGUCUUUAACACGUCAAAGAGGAGUUUAUGACAUAUUGUGUUCAAAUAUUCAGUUAAUUUAGACUGGGAGUUCCUGAGGAGACUCUGCAAUGAAGGGACAUAUUCUCACUGUUUCCUCUCUGAUGUUCUAUACCAGUAUUGACACUUCUCUUUAUGCUUCUUUAAAAUGGGAUGAAUUUAAGUGGAGAUUAAUUGAAUCAGUAGUUGAUUGUUUAAUCCUGUUAAAGAUGUUCAAAUUAAAAACAUAUCAGACAGCAAAGUGUUUCCUGGUUGCUGCUGUGCAUUUCCUGUUUAUGUUCACCAUGUUAACCACAAGCCUACAGUCAGUGACUGGGACCUUCUGACUGAAACAUAUAUCAUAGUGUAGGAUUAUUUCAACCAUUAGUCUAUUGUAUAGUUCAUUUCAGUCCAUGGAUCGAACCUUAAAAUGAUUUGUUUCACACUCGAGACGCUCGCAGGGAGCCAGCAUGCUGAAGUGCAUGGAGAUCAUGGGCUUCACUAUAGGAGUCAUAGGAUGGAUUGUCUCUAUAGUGCCCUGUGCUUUGUUUACAUCGGGAGUGAUGGACUUUCCACAGUACAGAGAGGUCAGUCUGGUUCAGAUCAUCACCUACUUCUCCAUUAUUCUAGGGUUGCUAGGGAUGAUAUUCUCCAUCUCAGGAACAAAGUGCACCAACUGUACCCAGAGGAAUAUGAAUACGUCUAUAGCUGAAGUGAUUAUCUUUGGAGGAAUAUUCUUCAUCCUGGCCGGUCUCAUCCACCUGAUCUUGAUCUUCUUGGUUGUCCUUGACUUGACACAAAACUCGGACCCUGAGAACUUCCUGCGGAGUAAUAACCUUACGUUCUCAGCUGAAUUUAACAGAUGGGCUGCUUCACUGCUUCUGAUAGGAGGAACUAUACUCUGCUGCUGUUGCUGCUUCAUGAAACAAAAACCUGAGUUGAAAACGGACUCUGAUUCCCUAAGUCAUGUCUUACACAACCUGAAUUUAUCUUAGCCAUUCUACCACUGUAAGCAAUAGGUUGUAAGCAAUACAUGCAGUAUAGUCAUAAGGAAUAUGAUGAUAUAUAAUAGCUACACUUAGAAAUCAGUUGAAUCAGGUGUGUUACUGCCUGGCUGGAAUAAAAGCCUACAUCCACACUGGUGCUUUUCAGGACUGAUGCUGUUCUUUGAAUCAGUAAGACUUACUCAAAAUGGCCAUACAAAAAGUAUUGCCAUGUGGUGACUCAGUGAUGCACAGAAUAGACUCCCACUUGAGAGAGAGAUGUAAGCAUGCUGUCUAAGGGCUGGGGAUGAAGUGGGAUGUUUUUAUAGGUAAACUGCUUUUCCAUUAUUAUUUACAAUAAAUUAUUAAAUAAUUAUUAAAUUAUUAAAUCUUAUUAAAUUGCAACUCU